GGCGGGCUGCGGGGUGCGUUAGGAGCAUUAUUCCAGGGCCCUAUAAGAUUCUAUGGGAGCUGACCCUGGCGGGGACCCUGGUCUUCGCUACUCGGCGCCCACCUACUUAAUGUAGGGAGACCGGAAUCUUACCUCCGACGGCCAUCGCGGCCCUGCC
rnacentral:other from 1 species